rnacentral:rRNA from 1 species
UACGUAGGGGCCGAGCGUUGUCCGGAGUUAUUGGGCGUAAAGCGCGCGCAGGCGGCCUCGCGCGCCCGACGUGAAAGCCCCCGGCUUGACCGGGGAGGGUCGUUGGGGACGGCGGGGCUUGAGGGCGGGAGAGGUCGGUGGAAUUCCCGGUGUAGUGGUGAAAUGCGUAGAGAUCGGGAGGAACACCUGUGGCGAAGGCGGCCGACUGGGCCGACCCUGACGCUGAGGCGCGAAGGCGUGGGGAGCGAACGGG